rnacentral:tRNA from 1 species
CACUAUGAAGCUAAAUAGCGUUAACCUUUUAAGUUAAAGAUUGAGAAGUUCCCCCUCCAUAGUGA